UACGAAGGGGGCUAGCGUUGCUCGGAAUUACUGGGCGUAAAGCGCACGUAGGCGGGUCGUUAAGUCAGGGGUGAAAUCCCGGAGCUCAACUCCGGAACUGCCUUUGAUACUGGCGACCUUGAGGCUGGAAGAGGUUAGUGGAAUUCCCAGUGUAGAGGUGAAAUUCGUAGAUAUUGGGAAGAACACCAGUGGCGAAGGCGGCUAACUGGUCCAGAUCUGACGCUGAGGUGCGAAAGCGUGGGGAGCAAACAGG
rnacentral:rRNA from 1 species